rnacentral:lncRNA from 1 species
GAGGACCUUGAAGAAGAUUAUUGGUGCAAUCUUCGAUAGUGCUAGAGAAGGCCUGAAUGACACUAGUUGGAUUAGCUGGUCUUUGAAAAUUAUCCUCAAAAAUUGUUUUAUUUCGCCAAUUCCACAAAUGCUAACAAGUAGUCAUGAAAGUUGUCUUCCACCUAAAGUUAGGAAUGCCAUUCCAAUGCUUGCUAAGGUUAUUAAAAACCCAAUUCCUGCAA